UUUAAAUUUGUUACGGACUGGUUGUCUUCCCUGGGGCCGCGCCGGCUGGCUCAUCGGUACUCAGGUGGAGUUCCAUCCCUGGCCCGCAGUCCGCACAAUCGAUAAGUCCACCGAUAUUAACAGCUGUUUUUACAACAGAAAAACACAUCACUAACAAAACAAAACAGCUGCCGCGCAAUUGGAAAUUGCGCUAAACAAAAGGAAAUCCAAAACAAACUAUUGACGACGGGCCACAGCUGGACCCCGGCGUACCCACCCUGCCUGAGAUGGCCACAUCGGCGCCAUCUCCCUUUGCGUUGGCCACUAUAUCAGUGGCUGCUCCUCAUCCGGUGUAGCGCUGUCGAAUUUCCCUCCCCCUCCAUGCUGAGAAGACUCACACAACCAUGUUCAACGUAUAAUAUUAAUAG